UAAUGACCAAUCUUCUAUAAGAGUGGUCACUUUAACAGCACCUUAGUGACCAAUCUUCUACAACAGUGAUCAUAAAUUUGAUAAAAUCGGCAAAAUGAACUCCUUUUAGUUUAGCACUAAUCAUUAUUUCUUCAUCAUCUCCAGUCGGUUCUUCGUCGUCAGGGUGACUUUGAGAGAGCUGGUCGUUUAAAUAAAGACCGGUUGAAGUAGUUUGAUUUAUUAGCUGGACAAAGUUGUCUUCUCUGUUGAAACUGGUGCUGCAUUAGAUUAAGAGGACAUGUUCUCGCCUGUCUUUUAUACUCAAAGACAAUAAUGUUUGUUCUAUUUUUGGAUAUAUAUAUAUAUAU